UCCAGACUCCUACGGGAGGCAGCAGUGGGGAAUAUUGCACAAUGGGGGAAACCCUGAUGCAGCAACGCCGCGUGAGUGAAGAAGUAUUUCGGUAUGUAAAGCUCUAUCAGCAGGGAAGAAGAAAGACGGUACCUGACUAAGAAGCCCCGGCUAACUACGUGCCAGCAGCCGCGGUAAUACGUAGGGGGCAAGCGUUAUCCGGAUUUACUGGGUGUAAAGGGAGCGUAGACGGCAAUACAAGUCGGAAGUGAAAUACCCGGGCUUAACCUGGGAACUGCUUUGGAAACUGUAUGGCUGGAGUGCUGGAGAGGUAAGCGGAAUUCCUAGUGUAGCGGUGAAAUGCGUAGAUAUUAGGAGGAACACCAGUGGCGAAGGCGGCUUACUGGACAGUAACUGACGUUGAGGCUCGAAAGCGUGGGGAGCAAACAGGAUUAGAUACCCGCGUA
rnacentral:rRNA from 1 species